rnacentral:rRNA from 1 species
ACGUGAAACUGCGAAUGGCUCAUUAUAUCAGUUAUAGUUUAUUUGAUAGUCCUUGCUACUUGGAUAACCGUAGUAACUCUAGAGCUAAUACAUGCAUCAAUCCCUGACUUCCUGGAAGGGGUGUACUUAUUAGAUGGAAACCAAUGCGGGUUCGCCCGGAUCCUGGUGAUUCAUAAUAAUUUUCGGAUCGAUCAUUUGAUCGAUGCAUCAUUCAAGUUUUUGCCCUAUCAGCUUUGGAUGGUAGGGUAUUGGCCUACCAUGGCAUUAACGGGUAACGGAGAAUUAGGGUUUGAUUCCGGAGAAGGAACCUUAAAAACCCCUACCAAUUCCAAAGAAAGCAACAGGCUCUUAAGAUACCCAAUCCUUACACA